AAAUUAGAAGGGUCCUUCGUUGAAUUUAAAAUAUUAUCUAUUGUUUUCUGUCGAUUCAAGUUUUUAGAGUACGUAAUAAAUUAUUUAAUAUUAUAUUAGCACGAGAUUUUGAGUUUGAAUUUUACCAGACUUUUCCAAAUCAAAAUAACUUUUUCAGAAAUCACUUUUUUUAGAAGCUAAGCCAAACAAGCCCUUAGGCUCGGUCCCGAAGCAGGACCCGAAUUGGUAUUAAUUAGUUGAUCAACAAGUUGCACUCUUCAUGGCCCGAGUUCAGCCCAACAUCUUUUCUUUUCAUGCCCCAAUGCUGUCUCUAAUAUUUUUUUGGGCAAUGCUGGCUGUACAUCUAUAAAAUAGACAUAAACUUUAUCGUAUUUCAAAAAAAUAUUAACUUUACAACUUUUUUAAAUAAGUUAAUAUGAUAUACCAAAUAUAAUAUUUCUACAUACAAACAAGAUUAAAAUAAAUUAAAAGUGUAUAAAUUACGGCUUCAACGAGCCGAACACGAGCGAGCUGGGUUGGUUCGUGUGGCUCAUUAAAAUAUCGAGCUGAAAAAUUUAGCUGUAUUAAAUGCAAAAUUUAUGUCUAUAA
rnacentral:lncRNA from 1 species